GAUGAACGCUGGCGGCGUGCCUAAUACAUGCAAGUCGAGCGAACAGAUAAGGAGCUUGCUCCUUUGACGUUAGCGGCGGACGGGUGAGUAACACGUGGGUAACCUACCUAUAAGACUGGAAUAACUCCGGGAAACCGGGGCUAAUGCCGGAUAACAUUUAGAACCGCAUGGUUCUAAAGUGAAAGAGGGUUUUGCUAUCACUUAUAGAUGGACCCGCGCCGUAUUAGCUAGUUGGUAAGGUAACGGCUUACCAAGGCAACGAUACGUAGCCGACCUGAGAGGGUGAUCGGCCACACUGGAACUGAGACACGGUCCAGACUCCUACGGGAGGCAGCAGUAGGGAAUCUUCCGCAAUGGGCGAAAGCCUGACGGAGCAACGCCGCGUGAGUGAUGAAGGUCUUCGGAUCGUAAAACUCUGUUAUUAGGGAAGAACAAAUGUGUAAGUAACUGUGCACGUCUUGACGGUACCUAAUCAGAAAGCCACGGCUAACUACGUG
rnacentral:rRNA from 1 species